rnacentral:misc_RNA from 1 species
GAUAAGAACGCAGCGAAAUGCGAAAAGUAAUGUGAAUUGCAGAAUUCAGUGAACCAUCGAAUCUUUGAACGCACAUUGCGCCCGCUGGAACUCCGGCGGGCACGCCUGUCCGAGCGUCAUUUCAACCCUCAGGCCCCCCUUCGCGGGCGGGCCUGGUGUUGGGGCCCGGCCGCUACCCUGCGGCCGUCCCCUAAAUCCAGUGGCGGCCUCGCCGUGAUCCCUUGCGUAGUAAUGCACCUCGCACCGGAGAGCGCCGUGGCCACGCCGUAAAACCCCCAAUUUUCAAUGGUUGACCUCGGAUCAGGUGGGAAUACCCGCUGAACUUAAGCAUAUCAAUAAGCGGAGGA